rnacentral:rRNA from 1 species
GAUGAACGCUAGCGGCAGGCUUAACACAUGCAAGUCGAGGGGUAUAGUUCUUCGGAGCUAGAGACCGGCGCACGGGUGCGUAACGCGUAUGCAAUCUACCUUUUGCAGAGGGAUAGCCCAGAGAAAUUUGGAUUAAUACCUCAUAGUAUGUGAGAAUGGCAUCAUUUUCACAUUAAAGUCACAACGGCAAAAGAUGAGCAUGCGUCCCAUUAGCUUGUUGGUAAGGUAACGGCUUACCAAGGCAACGAUGGGUAGGGGUCCUGAGAGGGAGAUCCCCCACACUGGUACUGAGACACGGACCAGACUCCUACGGGAGGCAGCAGUGAGGAAUAUUGGACAAUGGGCGCAAGCCUGAUCCAGCCAUGCCGCGUGCAGGAUGACGGUCCUAUGGAUUGUAAACUACUUUUGUACAGGAAGAAACACUGGUUCGUGAACCAGCUCGACGGUACUGUAAGAAUAAGGAUCGGCUAACUCCGUGCCAGCCGCCGCCGUAACAC